UAAAUCUUUUUUGCUAAAUUUAUAACUUUUUUAACAAAUGAUCUUUAUGCUUAUUGAACAAGAAGUAUAAGCAUGAUCUAUAAAUUGAUAUCACUCCGGUGUAUCACAUGCAUGUUUCAUCAAAGGUCAUGUUUUGCUCAUUUUGAGACCUACAACAUAUGUAUGAGUAAAUUAAAUAAACGGAACGAGAGAACUCCUACUAAGCGAAACAUAACUUUAGGUGUACCAUACCAUGCACAAGUUAUAAUCCAGUACAAUGAAUAUAUUGAUAAGUUGAUGAGAUAAAGUUUAUAUAUUUUCUACUCAUCAAUUGACCAAUUAAGUAUGAACUACAACAUUAACAUGAUGUAGUUCCCUACAUAACCAUACAAAACUAUUGUAUUAAACCUUUUUUGUCUGUUUGAUUGCUCAAGAACAAAGCAUGAAAUAAUAAAAGCAAGUUAAAUAAUGAAAGAUAAGUAGAGAAUAUUUUCAGAAGGCAUGCGCAAAAAACAAGAAUUGGAAUUUUUUUUUGUGAUUUUUAUUUGAGUGCAAAUUAAGCAUGAUAAACCCUAAAAGUAAUCUUUGCUCCCUCUUGACAUCAUUCCACUCACCUUCUUCAGUCUUCUCAUCCCGAGGUAAAACCCUACACUCUUAUAUAUCAUCUUCUCUUCUUGCUCUUUCUUCUCACCUCUUAUCUCUCAUUUCAACUACCAUAAUAUAUAUCAUUUACUUGCUUUAAUUUCUAUAUAAUCUCUAUCUUUUUAUCCCUAAUAUAUAUAUACGUUUCUUAAUUACAUGAAAUUAUUGCUUAUUAUAUUAUAUACCAUAGUGUAUAUCUUCUGUAAAAAGUGCAGCAAAAUCUAUCUAUCUAUAUAUAUAUACACAUAAAUGGUAUCUUUUUUUUGUGUUCUACACUAGAAUAGUAGCAUAUAUAAAGUCUUAUCACAUUUUAUGUCAUAUAUACCAAAUUUGAUCAAGCAAAAUCUAUUUUAUGUAUAUGGUAACUUGUACUAUAGCUAGGUGAUUUUGUCUGUUUUUUUUUUCUGGUAUGAUUGGGAAUAUUUAGCUAAUAACAUGUAGAAUUUCCUAUAAGAAUAUUAGUGUGUUUGAUUUGAUCACCUUUUAAUGAUGAUAUAUUGAUAGUUGAAUAUUCUGUUGAUUUGGCGCGCAUGUUGGUGUCCCUUUUUGUUGAUUUGAUCUGCUUACCUACUCUGUUUCUCCUACUCCACCAAACUUUUAUACUAAAGAAGCUCCAUAUUUUGAUGCCAUCAUGUUUUUCCAUUAGUGAUUCCCUUAAACAAGCCACAUCCUUCCAACCCAAUUCACCACAUGAUCCAAAUUUAAUGUUCUUUUCGCCUUAUAAAUAUAAGUUUAAUCAAUUCAGGGUUGAUCAUCACUUCCAAUCACAAUAAAGUGAAAUUAGGGUUGAUCAGGUCCGAUUAGACCUAAAAGGUUCAAUUCAGAUGAGUUCAGGUGAAGAGCAUGCGCCAUUAAGAGGAAACAAAUUUGGGAAUAGUUCACAAGAGUUGUCUAGCAAUAUCUAAAUGCAAAACAUGCAAUAAUAUGAGGCUUAGACUAUGCCCAAUUGCUAGUUAUUUUGUUUAAAAGUGGUGUAUGGGACCAUUUAGCUUCUUUUUACUUCCCUUUCCAAACCCUCUAACCUUUAUUUUUCUCAAUUAUUAAGUCAGCUUGUAGUAGUUUGAACUCAUUAUUACAUGAGAAUGUAUAGGUUUGAAUGGAACAUCAUGAUUAUUUGAACUGAAGUUUGGGGAGAAUAUGUUUGACUGGUUGAUAGGUUGGGAAGGCAAAGGGAAAGCGAUAUUGGUGAGGUUCAAUCCGAAGACGGAUCUUACUGAAGUAGAGUUUUAAGAUACGAUCUCAGAUUGAGCCGCGCCAAUAUCACUUUCUUUUUCCACCUUUCGGCUUUAGUUUGUUCUCCCUCGAACUCUUCAUUUUACUACAAGUACCUGUUUCAGAUUUUCGACACUUUGACAUUUUCAGAUGAGCCAAUAUCAUGAAAAAAUUUCAUAAUUCGUUGAAUUGAACACUCGGACACAUACCCAUAUUCAACACAACUACUCGUGUUGAAGUAACAUAGGUAUAUUUUAUUCAUACCUUUUUUUGUUAAACUUAUAAUAACUUUCCUGCAUGAUCUGAUUUGUUAAAAGUAUUGCAUACCCGUUAUUCACUUUCUGAAAUAGUAAUUUUUUCACUUUCCAAAGAUGGAAAUCUUAUCUGUAAUUUUUGUCUGUUUGAAACGUGAAAGUGAAACAUCUUUGUUUCUUCAUGAAAGUUAAUUUGUCUAAAAGGUUUUCUGCUAUGGUGCCUUCACUCUACCUUUGUUCUUGGAAAACCUGGCGUGGCAUACUCAUACUGAUCAUACAAGCAUACUGAGGAAAUAUUAACUGUUUUGAAGAUAAAUUAUUGAGAAGUGGGCUUGCAUAAAUUACAUAAAGAGCCUCUGUAAUUCAAGGUUUCAAGAGAGUACGUUGGUGAAGUGAUACUCGUCAAAUAGCAUGGAGGAGGAAUAUUUUCAAUUUUGGUAGUUUAAGUUUUAAUUUAGUUGGAGCUCCAAGAUUGGUUUUUAUAUUCUAUCAACUUUAGCGACUUAUGUUCAUGCCUAAGAGAGAUUCAUACAAAUACUUUGAAAGUACAUCAGAGUAAAAUCUUUUUGUAUUACAUGGGCGAUGAACUGGUUCAGGUAGAAUAAGGCUGGACCGACAAAAAGCUCAAUGGCUUGUAUUAGAAAUUUAGACCCAUUUUCAUUUCUUGUCUUAAGAUUUAUUUGGAAACAUGUUCAUGCAUUUUGA